AUCUAAUUCAUGCCACGGCACCAUUUAGCCUUACACAGUGCCCAUCUUUCUCGUGCGUCCGAUCACGAUCAAGCGGACUGGACCAAGCGGCGCUACCGUCCAAAAGAACGACAGCGGAAAGCUCCCCCAUAAUUCACGAAUUUUUCGUUUGGUUCGUCAUCUCCCCAUUCCCCUUUCCUCUCUCCUCCGGAUCGAGCUUAUCCCCUCCCCCGAUCUCCUCCUGCGAUUCUCCUCGUCGGCGGCGAACGUGCCAGUCGGAAGGCCCUCAGAGAUUGUCCUGGUUGGUGGUAACAGUGGAGGCGGACUCUCUACGGCACGGACUGGGGGAUCGAUGCAUCCAAGGAGGGUGGAUGUGAUGAGAGGGGUUCUUCGGCGGCGGCGCCCCGCGAUUCGACGCCGGCAAGGCGGACGGCCGGCAUCAGAGGAGUUUUUGCGGCCCGUCCUCGCCCAUCGAGUCGCCCGACCUGGGUGGCCGCACUGGUAGCUUCGAGGCAACGCCUUGCUGGCAACAGCAUGUAGCAUCUGCUCUAUUUUGCUCUCCGCUCCAGCCCAGUGCUGCUUGUUGCCGCACCUGAACAGUCUAUUUCUUUGCUGUGUGCUCUCUUGAGGAUUCAGAUGGUGUAAUAAGCUGGCUGUAAUUUUUGUAUCCGGCUGUACUUAUCUACUUCUUUUCCUCAAUUUCUCUGUAAUAUUUACAUUGGAUGUAAGUAUAGCAAUUUUCUCCACUUCUGGGUGAAGUUUCUGUAACUAGAUGUACUUCCUACCAGUUUUUACAUCCAGAUUGAUGCAAGUAUCCAUGUGUUUUUUCUCAA